CAUGGAUUCUUCGCAUUUGCAUCUAAACAGAAAAGAAAAUCGUCCGUUCCGUUUGUUAGAGGAAGAAUCGUAUGGAAACCAUCUGACAAAUAUACCUAGCUAGCUCCUGGCCCCAUCUAUAUAUCCAAGAAGAAAAAAACAUUCAGCAACUGUCAUAUAUACUCUCGAUCGUUAGCUUCUGGGAGGAUCUCGUGAGCGCAAAGCAAUGCAAGACCUUCCUUUGAGUACACUUGAUCUCAAGCCAGAGCGGCGGCGGCGUUAGUUUCCAGUGACCCGCCGCCGAGGGGCAAGGAGUUGAGAGCGAGAGGCAAGCUUUUUGUCGAGGUCAUCUCAAGUCAAAUUAUGUGGAGUCAAACGCAGGCCGACUAAAAAAAAUGCAUCUCCAGACUGACAAAUUAUUCCUGGGCGCAUGUCACAUCCGCGGUGUGCCGUCAGAAAGUCUCAGCGAAUAUUCCCGCCGCAUGCAUCAAGUAUCGCCUC
rnacentral:lncRNA from 1 species